rnacentral:rRNA from 1 species
AACGAACGUUAGCGGCGCGCUUAACACAUGCAAGUCGAACGAGAAAGGGCUUCGGCCCCGGUACAGUGGCGCACGGGUGAGUAACACGUGGGUAAUCUACCCUUGAGCGGGGGAUAACGUUCCGAAAGGAGCGCUAAUACCGCAUAAGACCACGCUCUCGAAAGGGAGCGAGGUAAAAGUAGGCCUCUGAAUUCACGCUUACACUCGAGGAUGAGCCCGNGGCCCAUCAUGGUAGUUGGUAGGGUAAUGGCCUACCAAGCCGAAGACGGGUAGCUGGUCUUAGAGGAUGAUCAGCCACACUGGAACUGAGACACGGUCCAGACUCCUACGGGAGGCAGCAGUGGGGAAUCUUGCGCAAUGGGCGAAAGCCUGACGCAGCGACGCCGCGUGGGUGAUGAAGGCCUUC